rnacentral:rRNA from 1 species
AUGUUGCUAGAGGACUGCGGUUCCAACAUCGACGGUGUUGCAGGCAUGGUCACACAGGGCCCUAUUGCCGAGGUCCUUGGAGGCGAGGAUGAGGUCGCGGAGCGCGGUGUGGUCGAGGCCGGCGGCGUCCAAGACCGGGUCGGCGUGGGUAUGUCUGGAGCGGUGGAGGAUCAGGGAGCGGGCGGCGGACACGACGCGGAGGUGGACGCGGGGGUAGCCGCUGCUUCCGCCGGCCGGGGCAUAGAUGUCGACAUGUCGUACAUGAUGCUCGCCUCUGCCUUGGGCGGCCACCAGGUCCACGUCGUCUAG